CUUGAUAGUCACGAUCGUGGCAUAUGGAGUUAUGUCGCCUCUUGAUAGCCGCGACCGUACCGGUACAACAUCGUUUAUUGGGCAUAACGAUGCAGCUUCAUACUUUGUUGAGUAUGAAGGCAGGAGACAUGGCAUUUGCAUUGCAUUUGCAUUUAGGGUGCUAUUGGUUUUCUAUGGUAUUUAUUUGACAAUGGUGGUGAGAAGUGAAUCUUCUCCAAGGUUUGGCGAUGAAUUGGUUUUAUUUAUGUAUGAGGGUGUUGGAGUUGAUAUUAUUAUUAUUUUUCAUUGAGGAGCUAUGCUUGCUGAUAAUAGUUAAACCAUUGUCUAAUGAACUUGUAGUUUAAAUAGCUUGUUAAAGCCGGUUACUUGCUGAGAUUUUAUAUCUCACCCCUGUUUUAUCAUCUCAGAUACUUGAUGGAAGGAUGCUUUACUUGGGGGUUAGGAAGUAGCAGCACGUCACACACUUCUCUUUAAUCAAAAUUCUCUAGUGUGAUGUUGUAAUAUUUAAGUCCUUCUCUAUGAGAGUUUGUUUGUUGCGUAAUGAUGGCUAAGAUUUGUUGAACCUUGCCUUUAAUCAUUGGAUAUGAUGUUAGGACCUUUCAUUUAUGCUAGUGUACUUUAUCUGUUUACAUAUCUUAUUAUUUGUUGCUUCCGCGAUGUUCCUGUUUUACGGAAGAUGCUGUCAAAAUCUUUCCCUUUUGUUCGGUAUGGCUUAGUAGCAUCCUAAGGUGGUGUUUGUUUUUCCUAGGGUGUUACACUUGUUUUUGGUGGCACUAAGCGGAAGUUGCUUAAAUUCUCCAGCAGACGUCGAGAGCGCAACGUGCUGCAAAGGGCUCAACACAGCUUCAGCUUUCC
rnacentral:lncRNA from 1 species